GUGGCGUGAUUGACGGGUUAAAAAGACGGGAGAAGAAAGCGCCGGAAGUCUUCCCGGGAGGAGCUGGACACGGAACGGAGCGGAAACAGCCUGCGGUCUGCAUCGAAGCCCGGAUGCAGGCACGUCAAACGCAGAACCUUCGCCACCGAAAGAGUGCCGCAAGGGCAGUCGUAGCCCCCCAGCAACCGGCGCCGGGACUUCUCUCAACUAUUGACGGCGCCCCUGGUUCCAGAGGCUCCCAGGGAUCUCAUCGUUCGGUGGCAACUUGGACGAGAUUCCACCUCUGCACCCCAGUCUCCUCGGCACCACGUUCCAAAUAUGCCUCCCAGCCGCGGCCCCAGAGGGGUGCUUACCCCUCAUUGACGCCUACACCUUCCCGAGGCUUGGCUCUGGAGGAUCGAAACCCGGCGGAUCCCCUCUUCCCAUAUACGUAAGAAGAGCGACGCGUCUGUGUCCGGCGUAUACGGGGUGCCUGAAACCCAUCGACCGGCCCACCUACGAGGUGCUCUCCACCGUACGCGAACGGACAAACAGUUAGGAUCAGAGAAGCAGAUGCUGGACGACAGGGAGCCCUGCUUCCACGCCACAGACCAGAGCUGCUACAGCGCGUCGGACCGGCUCCUGCACCAGCAGCGGACGACAUCCUGAUUGACAUCCCAGAAGACCUCUGAUGCGGACUUUCAAGUGUGUUGAACUGUUCAUCAUGUGUCUGGCCGUGCCCGUAGUGUGUUUGAACCUUGCACCGGUUUGUGCUUAGUUUGUUUUUGGAUUUUGGGGUAGGACUUGUUCUGUUUCGCGGUGCGGGGGGGGGAUAUCGAGACUUUGGGCAAGUUGUUAUCAAGGCCGCCACGACGUCAUCUCGAGCAACAGACGCCGAGGUUAUCAGUGUUGUAUCUGAGAUUAUCCGCUCGCAAUCGGAGGGGCUACGCAAUUGCCAGAGUUAGGGCGUUGGAGUGGCGUGAUUGACGGGUAAAAAGACUGGAGAAGAAAGCACCGGAUGUCUUCCUGAGAGGAGCUGGUCGCGGAAGCGGUCUGCGUCGAAGCCCGGAUGGUAAAAUAAACUAGUCUCUUCUCACGA